UGGGGAAUACUGCACAAUGGGCGCAAGCCUGAUGCAGCAACGCCGCGUGAGGGAUGACGGCCUUCGGGUUGUAAACCUCUUUUAGCAGGGAAGAAGCGAAAGUGACGGUACCUGCAGAAAAAGCGCCGGCUAACUACGUGCCAGCAGCCGCGGUAAUACGUAGGGCGCAAGCGUUAUCCGGAAUUAUUGGGCGUAAAGAGCUCGUAGGCGGUUUGUCGCGUCUGCUGUGAAAUCCCGAGGCUCAACCUCGGGUCUGCAGUGGGUACGGGCAGACUAGAGUGCGGUAGGGGAGAUUGGAAUUCCUGGUGUAGCGGUGGAAUGCGCAGAUAUCAGGAGGAACACCGAUGGCGAAGGCAGAUCUCUGGGCCGUAACUGACGCUGAGGAGCGAAAAGGGUGGGGAGCAAAACAGGCUUAGAUACCCUGGUAGUCCACCCCGUAAACGUUGGGAACUAGUUGUGGGGUCCAUUCCACGGAUUCCGUGACGCAGCUAACGCAUUAAGUUCCCCGCCUGGGGAGUACGGCCGCAAGGCUAAAACUCAAAUGAAUUGACGGGGUCAUAGCUGUUUCCU
rnacentral:rRNA from 1 species